CUCAUUCUACCAUUGUCACAUCACUCAUUUACCUGGAGACAUGACUGACAGAUAAUAGUCAAAGUGACAUCCCUCAGCAGGUUCGUUGAAUGUGAUGGGUGAGGAGGAAAGAACUUGCAGGUCGAGGAAGGUGAGGGUAAAAUGAGGCAGUUCUAGAUUUCGCCUCAGAUGAAAUGAUGAGGAUACAAAGCUUCCGUCAGACCCCACCCCUACCUGACAGCCCUGCGGGAGAAAGGAGCUGUCCUGAGACGCUGGCUCACAGGGCCCCAUUGUCCUCUUCUUAUGGACUUUGGCCUAUGAGGAAGUAAAGCAUCCAACAAGAGCAUAGUGGGGUUCCACUGCAGACAGGUAUGUUACCCCAUAGUUCAUGAGAAAAGAAACAAAGACUAGAUGAUGGAGUGAGCAGGAUGAGAGAUUAAUCUGCAGAAGCCAAAGACACAGGAUCCAAGUCAGGAUUCCAGAGACAUGAGUGUGGAGCCAGAGAGAUGGGAUCAAAGUGGAGACCAGCAGGAGUAUCAUGCGUGCUGGAUGGACCUGACUUCAAAUGCUCAGGCAGGAACAGAUAAUUUGCUUGUUCAAAACUCUUUAUUGAAGCCUUAGUGCCUAAAUAGCAGAGUCCCAGGCACUUGAACUUUCUCUCCAAGGUCUUCUAAAAUAUGAUCUGACCUUUCCUUCCUCACUUUGCACUUUCUAUUCCUUUAUUGUUCCUCAAAUUCCUUUCAUCUUCUGAUUUUUGCCUGGAAUGCCUUUCUGCUGUCUCUCCUGUACAAAUUCUAUUCAUUUUUAAAGCCUCUGUUUCUCUGAAUGCUGUCCUGGCCACUCUAGCCUGAUGUGAACUUUUCCCAUUCUGGACUCUCACAGUCAUUAUUAUCUGCCCACGCAUUUGGCAAUUGGUCAUUGUCUCCUUGAGAUUCUUUUGGAAACAAAUCCCCCACCAAGCCAACUUAAGCAAUAAAGAAAUUUAUUAUCUCA
rnacentral:lncRNA from 1 species